AUAAUAGAAACAAUAUAUAACAUUAUUUUAACACAAUAGUAAUGUCAUAUGGUAAAUACAAUACACCUGCAUUAAAUAAUGCAAUCUAAUGUACCAAACACAUUAUAUAUGUCUUAUUCGUGUUCAAUAUAAAUUAGAUCAAUAUGAAUCUCAUCCAUCUAUUAACCGUCUUAAAAUAAUCUCAAAUUCUAACUUGAUCCGUUUAUUUAUUGUGUCACUCGUUUAACAUAUUUUAAUUUUUAACUAUUUUCUAAAAGAUUUGUAGCGUUACCAACUUAAACUCUAAUAAACUUUUGUCUGAAUUUCUUUAAAAUAUGAAAAAAAUAUAUAUAACAUAAUUGCAUGAAAUAAAAUAUGUCAAUAUGAUAUGUCAAUCAAAUGGUUAAUUAUGUUAUAAACUUAUUCAUACAUUAUAAACUCUGAACAAACAAUUAUUCUAAAACACAUAAUACAAUCUAAUUAAUAACCAUUUCAUUAUAGAUCAAAUUAAACUUUCUAACACAUGCUAUAUUCAUAUUAAAAUAUUGAGUCGUGAUAUAAAUUAUCACUUCUUUAUAUGGGUUCGUAGACUAUUAUAACAGAGCAACAAAAUCUUAAAAUAAAAAUGUGUGGUAAACUACGUGCUAGUUAAACAAAAUGAAUAAGUUGAGGAACCUAUAUGAUAAAAGAGCAUUCUCGUCUUUCCCCCUUUGCGAAAGCAAUAGUGCGGGGCCGUGUGGAGAAGAGGUUGUGACUGGGGAGGACAGGUGGCCUACACGUGCUUGAGUAGCGAGUGAGGUCGAAGAGGAUUGGUGUAGAUCGUUCUGGGUGGGUCUGUAUAGACUGUAAUAAUCAGUUAAGCUUUUUAGCGCUCUCCACCGUACGGUGAAUGACACGUGGAAUAAUUAUUGGAGAAUGGGGUCCUCAGGUUUAAAAAAUUUUGAAGCUUAAGUUUUUUUGGAUAAUUUUUGUUUUAUUUGAUUUUAAAUUUUACACCCAACUCGAAAGUGAUAAUUAUGAAUUAAUGUGGAUUAACCGUUUAAUUAGUGUAAUUCAUCCUCUGCAUUAUCAUCUCUUUUCGUUUUUCAUUCAUUAUUCAUAUUUAUCCACAAGUAAAUUAUACAUUAUUGUUUUUUUUUUAAGUGAGCAUUUCUUAUGAGGAGAUCAAGACCCAAUCUUUGUGAAUGUUUAAUUUUCUUCAAUAUUAAAAAGUAAAAAGACAUUACUUUAAUUAUAUAACAAAAGGUGGUUUUAAGAUCCCAAGAUGAGUCUCAACUUGAGAGUAACAUUCAUCUUUUAAAUAGGAGAGUCUUAAUUUUAUCGAUUAUAAAAUCCAUUAUUAAUUAGAUUAAUGAUGCGUAGCACUCAUGACUUAACCGGUCGGGAAAACAAUCAAUGAGAAAACGGUUAAUUUACUGUUAAAUUUGGCUUUAAUGUCAUUGUAAGCACUCUACCACUUUUCAUGCAAAGGACAAGCUCAGGCCCAAGAUUUAUUAGAACACAAACAAUUUGGGCCACUUUUAGCCCAACCAUUUCAAAUUUCGGUGCAAAUCAAGCCCAAUCAAAAGGGUAAGAAAAUAAAAUGUCAUGUUACUCGUAAAAUAUGAAACGAAUCCCACCCACCUUGAAAAAAAAAUCUUGUAAAAUUAAAGCAACCAAAAUUUUUCUUCUACGAUGUCACUUGAAUAUUUUCUUCUUUGGUAAUUAUUACUUCAAAAUUUCUUAAAAUCAAAAUUGGCUUUCUUGACUUUGCGUUGCAUAUGAUCAUCUAAAUCCUCAAGUCCAUUCAAUUAUAUUUAUGUGCAUGUUUCGUUGUCUUGCAUUUAUUCUGCAUUCAAGAAUGGCAUGCUUCAUUAAUCCACUGACAUUGAAGACACAGCAACGGGCAACGGGCCCUUGCUUGCUUUUGUCAAUUUCUUUUCACCUUUUCAUUUCUUGCUUCCCAGUUACCAUGUCCAUGGCCACCAAGCUUUGCUUUAGGUUACAGUAUCAUCAUAAAAAUCUUUAAAAUCUCCAUACAUCUACGAUAAAUAUUUCAUGAUGUCUGCCACAACGUUCAAAUUCAAGUUCACGUUAAGCUCACCAUUAACGUCACCUUGACGAGAAAAAUUUACGUUACUUGGAACAAUUUUAUUAAAUCCGUCCAGUAGAAUUUUGUCACGUAUUGCAAAUUUGUUCUCUUACUAUCACAAUCACUAUAUAUCCUGAUCAGUCAACAUCGAACCAAAUUAAGCUUUUUGUCAAAGCUAACAACUGCUCGUUGGCCCUAAAAAGCUGUAAGAUUCAAUGGGUUCCUUUGUAUAAUCACCAAGCGUGUAGCCCUUCUGAAACCUUCACCUGCACGGUCAAUAAUAAUAUUAUUUUUUUUCUUUCAUUUUCUCAGUAACCAAACAUCUCAUCAUCCGCAAAAAGUUAAAAACGAAGACAAUUCAACAACUUGGAAUGUCUUUCUCACAUCCAUUCAAGUUCAACAAGUCCACACACGUUUCCAUUACCACAGCUUGCAUGCAUCAUUGUUGGUUGAUCUUUGGAGAGACAAAAUGGUGACAAUUGGCUGACAUGUAACGCCGCAUUUAAGAGAGAAAAAAAUAAAAAUAAAAAUAAAAAGGAAAGAUUUGAUUAAUUGACAUCGUUGGAUAACGGGAUGUGACGGCACCACCAAUGUUCUGAACCCUGGGAUUCUCCUACAUUAAUUUAAACCGAUGAUGAUCCAACAACUUGAGGAUGAAAAUGAUCAAAAAGCGGUAAACGUGGCCCCCGUGCAUCAAGUGUCCUCAUGUGUCUCCCAACUAAUGGCCUGUUUUAUUUUAAUCUCCUGUGUAAUCAUUUCUUCCCAUUGAACGGUCAAAAACUUCACAGCCCAUCUUUUUUUUUAAUUUUUUAUAAUCCUAACCAAAAAGGUUUAGCUUUUUUCUUGUGCAGGUGAUUUACGUGUAGAGAUUAGAGAAGACACAUGGAAAAUAUCAUCCCCAGUAUAAAUAUACAAAUACCAAAAUUUAAAAUUUAAAAAAAAAAGAUGAAAAUUAAUGAGGUGCUCAUAGGAUUCAAGAACGCCAUAAUUGACUGUGGAGAACACUCACCCCCACCACCACCUUAGCUACCUGGUAAUUAAAGAAAUUAAAUAAUUCGUGAAAGGUAUUGAUUUUUAGAAUUUUUUUUUUUAUUUUUUUACUUUCACUACAAGUGCCUAAAAUGAACAUGAUAUUUGAUAUUUGAUGAUGAUCCAAUACUAUUAUAAAAGAACGUGAUAUUUCAACUUAUUAAUCCAAAAUCCUAUUGAAUCAUAUUCAGACUAACAUUAAUACUAAGAGAGAAAAAAAAAUUUAAUAGCAUGUCAUAUCUCUAUAGUCCAUGCACGUGUGCCUCAAAUAGUUAAUUAAAUCGAUAACACGUAUAUUUGUAUGCGAUGUGUUUUCUAAAAAUAAAAAUGUUUCUCUAAAAAUGAUAUCAAAAAUAGUGUAAAACCGGUUGUAACCCUAGUCCUGCCCGCCGGAGAUACCAGCUUCCCCACCAAUUGGAUUGAAUCUGAUUGGUGACGUGGCCAUUAACUCGCUUUUUUUUUUCUAAAAAAUCCCUAUUUUUAAUUUUUUAUUCUAAAUUGGGACGCUUUUUCCUAUGAAGUCAACAUCGUUUGCUUUGUUUUGUGGCUGCCCUGCAUCUUUGUCACUACCAAAAUUCCACAUAUGAAAGCGUGUGGAUGCUCUGUUUUCUACUGGGUGUUUUUAAACAUUGUGUUUUUUUAUAUUCGGUGGUGUUGUUGCUUUCAAUGUUAUUGGUUUUUUAAAAAAACACUUCUUGUUUAUAAAAUGCUCUUGUGAACGUCAACAACAUUGCAUUGGCGUUUCUCAUUCGUUUCCAUAUUCUUUAUGCCAACAAAAUCUAUACAUAUUAAUGCAUAUUAGAUAUUAUAUUGAAAACGUAUUU
rnacentral:lncRNA from 1 species